GUGCCAGCAGCCGCGGUAAUACGUAGGGGGCAAGCGUUGUCCGGAAUUAUUGGGCGUAAAGCGCGCGCAGGCGGUCUUUUAAGUUUGGUGUUUAAGCCCAGGGCUCAACCCUGGUUCGCACUGAAAACUGGGAGACUUGAGUGCAGGAGAGGAAAGUGGAAUUCCACGUGUAGCGGUGAAAUGCGCAGAGAUCCGGAGGAACACCAGUGGCGAAGGCGGCCUUCUGGGUCCGCCCUGACGCUGAGGCGCGAAAGCGUGGGGAGCAAACAGGAUUAGAUACCCUGGUAGUCA
rnacentral:rRNA from 1 species